rnacentral:rRNA from 1 species
UACGUAGGGGGCAAGCGUUGUCCGGAAUCAUUGGGCGUAAAGAGCGUGUAGGCGGCCAGAUAAGUCCGCUGUGAAAACUCGAGGCUCAACUUCGAGCUGUCGGUGGAAACUAUUUGGCUAGAGUCCGGAAGAGGAGAGUGGAAUUCCUGGUGUAGCGGUGAAAUGCGCAGAUAUCAGGAAGAACACCUAUGGCGAAGGCAGCUCUCUGGGACGGUACUGACGCUGAGACGCGAAAGCGUGGGGAGCGAACAGG